rnacentral:rRNA from 1 species
UACGAAGGGGGCUAGCGUUGCUCGGAAUUAUUGGGCGUAAAGGGUGCGUAGGCGGUUUGGUAAGUCUGAUGUGAAAUCUAUGGGCUCAACUCAUAGUCUGCAUCGGAAACUGCCGGGCUUGAGUGUGGGAGAGGUGAGUGGAAUUCCUGGUGGAGCGGUGAAAUGCGUAGAUAUCAGGAGGAACACCGGUGGCGAAAGCGGCUCACUGGACCAUAACUGACGCUGAUGCACGAAAGCUAGGGGAGCAAACCGG